rnacentral:rRNA from 1 species
GGCAGUCGUAACACGGUAAGUGUACCAGAAGGUGCACUUGGAUCAAACCCAGGGCGUGGCUGAGUUAGUUAAGCAUCUCACUUACACCGAGAAGACAUCCAUGCAAAUUGGGUCGCCCUGAGCCAAACAGCUAGCUUAUUUACCAAAACAAACUAAACAAUAUAAAUAGAAUAAAAUAAACCUAAUACUAAAAACUAAACCAUUCUUUUACCUGAGUAUGGGAGACAGAAAAGGUCCAACCAAAGCAAUAGAAAUAGUACCGCAAGGGAAAGCUGAAAGAGAAAUGAAAUAACCCAUAUAAGCACCAAAAAGCAAAGACUAAACCUUGUACCUUUUGCAUCAUGAUUUAGCCAGUAAAUACAAGCAAAGAGACCUUUAGUUUGAAACCCCGAAACCAGGUGAGCUACCCCGAGACAGCCUAUUAAGGGCCAACCCGUCUCUGUGGCAAAAGAGUGGGAAGAGCUCCGGGUAGAAGUGACAGACCUACCGAACCUGGUGAUAGCUGGUUGCCUAAGAAAUGAAUAGAAGUUCAGCCUCGUCCACCUCAAAUCAAACAAGUACAAACCUAAAUAUUAAGAGAAAUACACGAGAGUUAGUUAAAGGGGGUACAGCCCCUUUAACAAAGAAUACAACCUUAUCAGAAGGAUAAAGAUUAUAAUAAUUAAAAUAUACUGUUCUAGUGGGCCUAAAAGCAGCCACCUAAAUAGAAAGCGUAAG